AGGUCACUUCCUGAUAUGGCUUUCUGUGGAAGCUUGACAUAUGACAUUUGAGCAGUAGACUUGAUACAGCUUGCAGAGGCUAGGCAUUUGGCUUGGCUUUGGAACAAAUGACUUGUUAUGACUUGAUCAAUUCGUCGAUUGAUAAAUACUUUGCAAACUCCGUACGUGCUGACGCUUAGUGCACUGGUCUGGUUCACAAGCGACUAACACUGAAGUCAAACAUUGUACCGUCUUUGUCAGCAAACAUUGAUCAGUCGGUUCCGG
rnacentral:lncRNA from 1 species